CUUCACCGAGCCGAGCCAGAGCGGGUGUUCGGGGUCCCGUCCCUGGCCGUACGUGGCGAGGAGCGCCUGGGCCUC
rnacentral:antisense_RNA from 1 species